rnacentral:sRNA from 1 species
UCCAUCCAUCCAUCCAUCUAUCUAUCUAUCUAUCUAUCUAUCUAUCUAUCUAUCUAUCUAUCUAUCUAUCUUAGGUGGAUGUGAAUGGAUUUUAAAACCAAAUGACCGAAGACUUCCUGAUCUUGAGACAUGCAAAUUCAGAGGUUAUAGAAACAAAAUGGCCAACGGUCUUUACUCUUCCAGCUAACCUUGUGAUUGAGGGAACACUUGAGUAAAGUAUAAAGCGGGUCAGACGGUGCUGAAUGAUGUGGAGGACAGUCACGUGGAGCAGACUGAAAUGUUUUUAACUAGUGUCAUGGUUAGCUUCCCUUGUCAACUGGACGCCUAGAGAAAGAACCUCAGCUGAGGAAAUGUCUCCAUUGGAUUGGCCCUUGGGCAUGUCUACAGGGCAUUUUCCUGAUUAUUAAUUGAUGUCGGAGGGCCCAGCCCACUGUGGGGCCAUCACUGAACAGGUGGGCCUACCUAGGGUGUGUGUGUGUGUGUGUGUGUGUGUGUGUGUGUGUAAGCUGUGUCCCUCCACCUCUGCUUUAGUUCUUGGUUUCCCUUGAUGCACUGUAACCUGUGAGCCAAAUAAACCCUUUCCUCCCUAAAUUGGUUUUGGUCAAUGUUUUAUCACAGCAUGGGAAAGCAAACCAGAGCAGCUGGCAUUGAAGGCUUCCAGGUGGUCCAAAAUAAUUAAAGAAAGCAUGGUGAGAUUCAUCCAAAGGCCUGACUGAUGGCACACUGGCCUCUGCCUAAGUGAAUUGAGGGUCAAACAAGUUCAUGUCUUAGGACCAGGAAUGACCACCUGCCCCACGUCUCCAAAUGCUUUCUUAAUCGUCGGUUAACAGGUAAGGAACAUAGAAAUUGCUGAUAUCUAAAGCAAGGUGCAUAAGUUAUAAAAAUGUAUAACCAGUCACCUGUUCUGCUCUAAUUAACUAAUUACAUGUGGCUGGCCUGCUUCUUUGUCCCUUAUCACUCAGCUCUGCACCUGACGUCUAGGAGAAUGAAUUAAGGACCUUGAAGCCAGGUGCCCUGGAUACAGCCCAGUCUCCAAUAGGUACUUCCUUGCUUAACCCAGUGUCCAAAUACAACUGGACAACACUGCACGUCUCCCCACCUCCCCUUGCUUGUCUUCCCACCCUUAAAAAUGUCGCCCAGUCUUGCCUCAGGGACUCAGUUCAGAUCCCGAACUGGCCGACUCCGAGUGCUCAGAAAAUAAAGCUUUCAUUUUUAA